ACGGGUGAGUAACGCGUGAGAAUCUGGCUCCAGGUCGGGGACAACAGUUGGAAACGACUGCUAAUACCGGAUGUGCCGAGAGGUAAAAGAUUAAUUGCCUGGAGAUGAGCUCGCGUCUGAUUAGCUAGUUGGUGUGGUAAGAGCGCACCAAGGCGACGAUCAGUAGCUGGUCUGAGAGGAUGAUCAGCCACACUGGGACUGAGACACGGCCCAGACUCCUACGGGAGGCAGCAGUGGGGAAUUUUCCGCAAUGGGCGAAAGCCUGACGGAGCAAUACCGCGUGAGGGAGGAAGGCUCUUGGGUUGUAAACCUCUUUUCUCAAGGAAUAAGUUCUGAAGGUACUUGAGGAAUAAGCAUCGGCUAACUCCGUGCCAGCAGCCGCGGUAAUACGGAGGAUGCAAGCGUUAUCCGGAAUGAUUGGGCGUAAAGGGUCCGCAGGUGGCAAUGUAAGUCUGCUGUCAAAGAAUGAGGCUCAACCUCAUCAAGGCAGUGGAAACUACGUAGCUAGAGUACGGUCGGGGUAGAAGGAAUUCCUGGUGUAGCGGUGAAAUGCGUAGAGAUCAGGAAGAACACCGGUGGCGAAAGCGUUCUGUUAGGCC
rnacentral:rRNA from 1 species